CCCAACCUUUUUGGCAUAAGGGACCAGUUUCAUGGAAGACAGUUUUUCCAUGGACCCAGGGGCGAGGUGGGGGAAUGGUGAGGAUGAUUCAAGUGCUCUACAUUUAUUGUGCACUUUAUUUCUGUUAUUAUAGCAUUGUAAUAUAUAAUAAAAUAUUUAUACAACUCACUAUAAUGUAGAAUCAGUGAGAGCCCUGAGCUUGUUUUCCUGCAACUAGACAGUCCCAUCUGGGGGUGAUGGGAGACAAGGACAGAUCAUCAGGCAUGAGAUUUUCAUAAGGAAUGCACAACUCAGAUCCCUCACAUGAGCAGUUCACAUCCGAUGCUACUGCUGAUCAGACAGGUGUGCAGUUCAGGCAGUAAUGCAAGCAGUGGGAAGUGGCUGUAAAUACAGAGGAAGCUCCAUUUGCUUGCCUGCUGCUCAUCUCCUGCUAUGCGGCCCUGUUCCUAUCAUGCCAC